GACGAACGCUGGCGGCGUGCUUAACACAUGCAAGUCGAACGAACAGGCCAUGCUUUUGCUGGUUGCUCGAGUGGCGAACAGGUGAGUAACACACGAGUAAACUGCACCUGACAUUGUGAUAAAUUCUGGAAACUGGGGAUAAUACCCGAUAUGAGCUUCUGCUGCAUGGUGGGGGUUGGAAAAAUUGGGCGGUUGUGGAUAGACUCGAGGCUUCUCAGCUUGUUUGUGGGGUUGUGGCGUACGAAGGCUUUGACGGGUAGCCGGCCUGAGAGGGUGACCGGCGACAUGGGGACUGAGAGACGGCGCAGACGCGUACGGGACGCAGCAGUGGGGAAUAUUGCAGAAUGGGGGGAAGCCAGAUGCAGCAAUGCCGCGUGCGGGAUGACGGCCUUCGAGGGGUAAACCACUGUGGCCUGUGACGAAGAGUGAGUGACGGUAAUGGGUAAAGAAGCCCCGGCUAACUACGUG
rnacentral:rRNA from 1 species